GAUGAACGCUAGCGGCAGGCCUAAUACAUGCAAGUCGAACGGUGUCUUCGGACAUAGUGGCGCACGGGUGCGUAACACGUAUGCAACCUACCUUACAUUGGGGGAUAGCCUUUCGAAAGGGAGAUUAAUACCGCAUAAGACGGUAGCUGGGCAUCCAGCAGCUGUUAAAGAUUUAUCGAUGUAAGCUGGGCAUGCGUCCAAUUAGCUAGUUGGUGAGGUAACGGCUCACCAAGGCAAUGAUUGGUAGGGGAACUGAGAGGUCAAUCCCCCACACUGGCACUGAGAUACGGGCCAGACUCCGACGGGAGGCAGCAGUAGGGAAUAUUGGGCAAUGGACGCAAGUCUGACCCAGCCAUGCCGCGUGCAGGAUGAAGGCGUUAUGCGUUGUAAACUGCUUUUAUACAGGAAGAAACGACUCUUGCGAGAGGCAUUGACGGUACUGUAUGAAUAAGCACCGGCUAACUCCGUGCCAGCCGCCGCAGUAAAAC
rnacentral:rRNA from 1 species